rnacentral:rRNA from 1 species
GACGAACGCUGGCGGCGUGGAUUAGGCAUGCAAGUCGAACGGUAUCAUCCUUUCGGGGGUGAGAGAGUGGCGAACUGGUGAGUAACACGUAGGUUAUCUACCCUCAAGACGGGGACAACCCAGGGAAACUUGGGCUAAUACCGGAUGUGAGCAACUUUUAGUUGUUUGAAAGGUGGCGUAAGCUGUCGCUUGGGGAUGAGCCUGCGUCCUAUUAGUUAGUUGGUGAGGUAACGGCUCACCUAGGCAAUGAUAGGUAGGCGGCCUUAACGGGUGGUCGCCCACACUGGGAUUGAGAUACGGCCCAGACUCCUACGGGAGGCAGCAGUCGAGAAUAGUCUACAAUGGUCGGAAGACUGAUAGUGCGACGCCGCGUGAACGAUGAAUCCCUUCGGGGUGUAAAGUUCUUUUAUAUGUGAGCAGUGCUUCUUAUAUUAACAGUAUGGGGAGAGAGAUAUUAGCAUAUGAAUAAGCAACGGCUAAACUCCGUGCCAGCAGCCGCGGUAAAAACG